rnacentral:tRNA from 1 species
UCCCUGGUGGUCUAGUGGUUAAGAUUUGGUGCUUUUACUGCUAUGGUCCUGGUUUCAGUCCCUGGUCUGGGAA